rnacentral:lncRNA from 1 species
UGUAGAAAGCAACAGACACUAAGCAACAGCUCAGUUUUUUGACACAGAAGACAAAAAUCAUACACUGGACAAAAGUGUUCUUCCUGCCAGAAGUGUGUGUCCGGAGAACCUUCCUGACCAGCGAAAGAGGCAGAAAAUUCAGAAACUGGUUGCCAUGUAGGACACUCAACAGCACCCAUGGCUGGCCUGAGGCCACAAGUUGUAUGAAUCUCUCAGAUCUCGGGGGUGCAGCUCGGAUAUACAGAUGCAAGUAAGAAGCACCGGGCAAUGCCUAGGCUGUCCUCCACU